rnacentral:rRNA from 1 species
AUUGAACGCUGGCGGCAUGCCUUACACAUGCAAGUCGAACGGCAGCAUGAUCUAGCUUGCUAGAUUGAUGGCGAGUGGCGAACGGGUGAGUAAUACAUCGGAACGUGCCCUGUAGUGGGGGUUAACUAGUCGAAAGAUUAGCUAAUACCGCAUACGACCUGAGGGUGAAAGUGGGGGACCGCAAGGCCUCAUGCUAUAGGAGCGGCCGAUGUCUGAUUAGCUAGUUGGUGAGGUAAAGGCUCACUAAGGCGACGAUCAGUAGCUGGUCUGAGAGGACGAUCAGCCACACUGGGACUGAGACACGGCCCAGACUCCUACGGGAGGCAGCAGUGGGGAAUUUUGGACAAUGGGGGCAACCCUGAUCCAGCAAUGCCGCGUGUGUGAAGAAGGCCUUCGGGUUGUAAAGCACUUUUGUCCGGAAAGAAAUCGCACUUACUAAUAUUAGGUGUGGAUGACGGUACCGGAAGAAUAAGGACCGGCUAACUACGUGCCAGCCGCCGCGGUAACAC